rnacentral:rRNA from 1 species
GCACCACAAGGCGUGAAGCCUGCGGUUCAAUUGGACUCAACGCCGGGAAACUUACCAGGGGAGACAGCAGAAUGAUGGUCAGGUUGACGACCUUACCUGACGAGCUGAGAGGAGGUGCAUGGCCGUCGCCAGUUCGUGCUGUGAGGUAUCCUGUUAAGUCAGGCAACGAACGAGAUCCGCGCCUUUAUUUGCCAGCAAGAAGUCACGACUUCGUUGGGAACACUAAAGGGACCGCCGUCGAUAAGACGGAGGAAGGAGCGGGCAAAGGCAGGUCAGUAUGCCCCGAAACCCCUGGGCUACACGCGGGCUGCAAUGGUAUGAACAAUGGGCUGUGACUCCGAAAGGAGAAACCAAUCCCGAAAUCAUAUCUCAGUGGGGAUUGUCGGCUGUAACCCGCUGACAUGAACGUGGAAUCCCUAGUAAUCGUGUGUCAUCAUCGCACGGUGAAUACGUCUCUGCUCCUUGCACACACCGCCCGUCGCUCCAUCCGAGUGUGCUAAAAAUGAGGUUUGGUCAAUCUGGUCAUAUCGAGUUUCUAGUAUGCGAGGAGGGAG